rnacentral:rRNA from 1 species
CAACGCGAAGAACCUUACCAGGUCUUCGACAUCCCCUGACAACCCAAGAGAUCGGGCGUUCCCCUUCGGGGGACAGGGUGACAGGUGGUGCAUGGUUGUCGUCAGCUCGUGUCGUGAGAUGUUGGGUUAAGUCCCGCAACGAGCGCAACCCUCGACCUUAGUUGCCAGCAUUCAGUUGGGCACUCUAAGGUGACUGCCGGCUAAAAGUCGGAGGAAGGUGGGGAUGACGUCAAAUCAUCAUGCCCCUUAUGACCUGGGCUACACACGUGCUACAAUGGGCGGUACAAAGGGUCGCGAACCCGCGAGGGGGAGCCAAUCCCAAAAAGCCGCUCUCAGUUCGGAUUGCAGGCUGCAACUCGCCUGCAUGAAGCCGGAAUCGCUAGUAAUCGCGGAUCAGCAUGCCGCGGUGAAUACGUUCCCGGGCCCGUU